rnacentral:rRNA from 1 species
UACGUAGGGGGCAAGCGUUGUCCGGAUUUAUUGGGCGUAAAGAGCGUGUAGGCGGUUCGGUAGGUCCGUUGUGAAAACUCGAGGCUCAACCUCGAGACGCCGAUGGAAACCCCCGAACUAGAGUCCGGAAGAGGAGAAUGGAAUUCCUGGUGUAGCGGUGAAAUGCGCAGAUAUCAGGAAGAACACCCGUGGCGAAGGCGGUUCUCUAGUACGGUACUGACGCUGAGACGCGAAAGCGUGGGGAGCGAACAGG